rnacentral:rRNA from 1 species
UACGAAGGGGGCUAGCGUUGCUCGGAAUCACUGGGCGUAAAGCGCACGUAGGCGGACUCUUAAGUCGGUGGUGAAAUCCUGGAGCUCAACUCCAGAACUGCCCUCCAAACUGCUUCGCUUGAGACCGGGAGAGGUGAGUGGAAUUCCCAGUGUAGCGGUGAAAUGCGUAGAUAUUGGGAGGAACACCAGUGGCGAAGGCGGCUCACUGGACCGGUACUGACGCUGAUGCGCGAAAGCGUGGGGAGCAAACGGG